CGUAUCCACGAUCCAUUGCUGACUUUUAGGAACAGCCAUGGCUCAGGAGCGCUAGA
rnacentral:pre_miRNA from 1 species